rnacentral:lncRNA from 1 species
GUCCUGGACAAGGAAACACUUUGCCAACCUCUGGACUAGACUGAGUAAAGCAAGCAGAAAGAUCCAAUUUUAAAAAGAGGUGAGGAAAAUGGGACAACUUGGCUAUGGAGAGAGCAAGAAGAAUGCAACUGAUGUGCACAAAGUUUGAAGACAAAGUUACUCAGGUUUAGAUCAGGGGUCCACAACCCCCAGCCAUGGACCAGUACUGAUUUGUGGCCUGUUAGGAACUCAGUUGCAGUAGGAGGUGAAUGCCAG